CCGGUGGCGAAAGCGGCUCUCUGGUCUGUAACUGACGCCGAGGCUCGAAAGCGUGGGGAGCAAACAGGAUUAGGUACCCUGGUAGUGCACGCCGUAAACGAUGAGUGCUAGGUGUUGGGUCCUUUCCGGGACUCAGUGCCGCAGCUAACGCAUUAAGCACUCCGCCUGGGGAGUACGACCGCAAGGUUGAAACUCAAAGGAAUUGACGGGGGCCCGCACAAGCGGUGGAGCAUGUGGUUUAAUUCGAAGCAACGCGGAGAACCUUACCAGGUCUUGACAUCCCGGUGCCCGUCCUAGAGAUAGGAUUUUGCUUCGGCACACCGGUGACAGGUGGUGCAUGGUUGUCGUCAGCUCGUGUCGCGAGAUGUUGGGUUAAGCCCCGCAACGAGCGCAACCCUUAUUGUUAGUUGCCAUCAUUCAGUUGGGCACUCUAGCGAGACUGCCGGUAAUAAACCGGAGGAAGGUGGGGAUGACGUCAAAUCAUCAUGCCCCUUAUGACCUGGGCUACACACGUGCUACAAUGGCUGGUACAACGAGUCGCAAGUCGGUGACGGCAAGCUAAUCUCUUAAAGCCAGUCUCAGUUCGGAUUGUAGGCUGCAACUCGCCUACAUGAAGUCGGAAUCGCUAGUAAUCGCGGAUCAGCACGCCGCGGUGAAUACGUUCCCGGGCCUUGUACACACCGCCCGUCACACCACGAGAGUUUGUAACACCCGAAAUUUUUUAGGUAACCUUUUAGGAGCCAGCCGCCUAAGGUGGGAUCUUUUUUAGGGUGAAGUCGUAACAAGGUAGCCGUAGG
rnacentral:rRNA from 1 species